rnacentral:rRNA from 1 species
UAGUCCACGCCGUAAACGAUGGACACUAGUUGUUGGAAUUUUCAGUGACUAAGCGAAAGUGAUAAGUGUCCCACCUGGGGAGUACGAUCGCAAGAUUGAAACUCAAAGGAAUUGACGGGGGCCCGCACAAGCGGUGGAGCAUGUGGUUUAAUUCGAUGAUACGCGAGGAACCUUACCAGGGCUUAAAUGUAGGUUGCAUUAGCUAGAGAUAGCUAUUUCUUCGGACUACUUACAAGGUGCUGCAUGGUUGUCGUCAGCUCGUGCCGUGAGGUGUCAGGUUAAGUCCUAUAACGAGCGCAACCCUUGUCGUUAGUUGCCAGCAAGUAAAGAUGGGGACUCUAACGGGACUGCCGGUGCAAACCGUGAGGAAGGUGGGGAUGACGUCAAAUCAUCACGGCCCUUACGUCCUGGGCCACACACGUGCUACAAUGGCCGGUACAGAGAGCAGCCAUGUCGUAAGGCAGCGCGAAUCUACAAAACCGGUCACAGUUCGGAUCGGGGUCUGCAACUCG